GGCUGGACACCUCCUUU
rnacentral:rRNA from 1 species